GUUGUGGGGUUGUUAACCAAUGUCAUAAAACUAUGUGUACUACUGUUUAAUGAGAACCUAUUUGUUCUGUAAACCUUCACCUGGAGUACAAUUAAAAAAAAAAGUUUAUAGUUGAAAUGCCACAAAAAACUGCCGUCCAAAACAUCCAGGUUUCUGACCUUAUUAUUUUGACCCCCUAAGAGCAAGUAUGGAGCCCUGGUGGCGCAGUGGUUAAGAGCUCAGCUACUAACCAAAAGGUCAGUAGUUUGAAUCCACCAGCCGCUCCUUGGAAACCCUAUACCAUAGACAUUACGUCAUUUUAAAAUUCCUUCAAUUGCAGUUGAUUCUCAGACUUCUUAAUGCCCGAGUCUUAAAAUAAAAUGAAAUUUUAGUUUAGUAAGGGUUUGUUGGAGUUUUCUGGCUGCUGGGUAAUUUCCUGUAAGUGGGAAAUCAGUUGUCUUCCUUGGUAGAUUUAUGGUAUAAUGCUGUUUAUAGCCUCAUUUACCCAGGUGUCGUUUUAGUUUAAGACUGUUUCCUGGGAAUCUUUAAACAAGGAUAACACAGCAGUACUUCCACAGAUAACUAUUUUGAAGCAAAUUUGUUUAUAACUUAUAUAAAUGUCAUGAACUUUACUUGAUUGCAUCUGAUUGUGUUUUGGAAAAUCUGGAAAAUGAACAUGUAUUUAGAUUAUUAUUGCAAAUUGCAAUAAAAUUGUAAAUACAUUGUUAGAGUACAACUUGUCGCACAAUAAGUCACUGGAAGCGUUACCUGACAACCUCAGUGAGAAUGAGUUAAAUUACCAACAAACAUUUCAGCAUCUUAUUUACUUGUUUAUUAAGUAAAGCUAAUUUUCUUCCAGGACAAAAAUUAAGAGCUCAUUGUGGCUUUCAAUCAAGCCCACAAAAUGGCCAUUAAUAAAUGUUAAGUGCCCGUGCUAAGGGUAGAUUCUUCAGCUUGGCACCUAGUUGAUUUUUGCUAUAAUCUAAAUUAAUGGUUAAAGUCAAGAUUUGCUUAAUGGUUAAGUUUUUUUGUUUUAAUCCAGCUAUGUUAGAUACUAAAGAAGGCUUCCCCACAACCCGUAUGCAUCUGCUUUGAUGGUUUCUAUCAACCUACAGAGACUGUGAUUUAUUGGUGAGGGCAGCUGGACAACUCUUGAGAGCAACUUAGAGAAAUCCAUCUUGGGCACACUCUGUAAAGGAGCUCCUUUUCUGGAAAUAGCACCCCAAAUAAGUGCACAAAAGCAAGACACCCUCAUGGACCUACUUCCUCCCGCUUUCAACACCCUGAUGCCUGAAGGUGAGGCCUCCUUCCUGUGUGUCUUGGAAGCUGUGAGCACACUUAGGUCAUUAGAGCCCUACCAUAGCCUGAGCAACGCACACCUGCAGCCUGUCCUGCCAGAACUUUGCCUAAAGAUCGUUUUUCUCAUUAGGAGAGACUCCAGAUCUGAAGAGUGAUGGAAGUAAGGUUGCACUGAAAGCUACAGUACUUUAAAUAGUGGAUUGAUCUAGUGAUUAGUUCCCCAAACUGGGCAAUAUUUGAUGAAAUUUUUUGUUUUGUUGUGUUUUUAUUUUUUUCUCUUCGUUAAUCCAGCUAUUCUUGAUGCUAAAGAAAGUUUUCCUACUAUCCAUAUGCAUCUUCCAAAUUUUGAAAUUGCAACUAUGGACAGUUAAUGGCUAAUCCUAGUAGAUUGUCUUCCCUUCUUUUAACAUCUUGGAUGAAUUUGGGGCACACUAAUGUGUUCUCUGAAGAUGGAUGUUGAAUAUACUCUACAGAUUGACCCCAAGCCAGCCAUCUUGAAAUAACUGCCUGGACAACAGAGAUAUCUGUGGAGAAAGGUUGGAUAAAAUUGAUGAUAUGAUAAUAGGUAUGGGGUUUCUUUUUGGGGUGAUGGAAGUGUUCUGGAAUUAGAUAGUGGUGAUGGUUGCACAACAUAGUGACUAUGUACUAAAACCCACUGCAGUGUACACUCUAAAAUGACAAAUGCUAUGUUCUGUGAGGUGUAUCUCAGUUAAAAAAAGUACAUAUGAGCCCCUAGUACUAGAGACCUCUGGAGAUACCCAGGGCUUAGCAGCCUGGGUUCAGUAUGGCAACACCUAACAGUUUGUGCAAAGCUCCUUGGUGUCCUUUUCCCAGCCUUCUCAAUGGCUUAGCUCUGUGUAGCCAUUCUAGGUGAAUGCACCCAUGUUACAAGUCUGUGGAGAUGCUUUUGAGAUAACAAGUGCUCACUCACAGCAGGUUUGAGACUCCAAGUUGUUGGUAGUUGUAUUCUAAAUUGUCUCUGAAUUUAAAAGGAACAAGCAGAUCUUUCCCAGUGUAUUUAUAAAAUGAAUUAUAUUUACAUCCUUGGGUGGGUGGGAGGUGGGAGGGAAGGAUGCUGUCCUGCUAAAAUGUAAUAGAUUCCAUUCUUCACGUAUUGUGAUGAUUUUAAGGUUCACAUGGGCAUUUCUUUAAGAACAGACCAUGUGUUUUAGACAUUUAAGGUGAUGUCAAAGGCUAUAAUAUUUUAGUUCAAAUAAUGGCAACAAACUCUUAUUCCUCUAUAAAAUCCCUCAACUUUCACCCCUUUUUUCUUUGCCAGUGUGUAGAGUUUGACAGUAGUAUCAAGAGCUGAGGAGAAGGAGAAGAUGGAAAGGAGUCUAGCAACUUAAAAUCUCAUGGCAUUCUCUUUGAGGUGACCUUUUUCCUGUUGGUGGCUCAGUGUACUUAGGGAGUAAAGAAGAUGCUAAGGCCUGGGACGGUAUCCUCGGGUCAUACCUGAGCUUGCUGAAAUGUUUCUCCCUUCCCUGAUUCUUUAUAUCACAGUUUGCGUUAUGUGUUCAUAAACUGACUCAUUUGUUUCCUAUUAGUAUUUGAAACACCAUAUGGCCACCAUAAGUCCUAACAGAAUGAUGUCAGUGAGGAGGGGAAGGCCUGUGUUUUUGCUUCCUCUGAAAUUUUAGCUUACUCACAAAACUACCCCCACUGAAGGGCAGGUUCAGAGAAGAAGAGGUUGAUAAAAACCUUUGGCAUGGUGUUUUAUGACUUGGAGUUUUAAGUAAUAGUUUUUAUUAAUUUUGGUAAGAACAUUACUAGAUCUUCUUGAUGUCACUUUUACUGCUAAGAGGUGCCAGGCAUUUGGUGGCCUGUCACUUUAAGAUUUGUGUGAAUCAAACCUAGCCAAACAUAACCAGACACCAGUACUGGUAUUUUUUCUUAUUAAAAACAAAGUAGCUAAAUUUUACUGUUGAACUAAGUACUUCAUCAUGAAUACAUAAAUAUUAAGUAUCCAGUAGAGUAUGUUAAAAUGUAGCUCUUCUGUUUUUGUUUUAGUAACUUCUUAUAUGGUGUUUUAAUUGUGGCUUGUCCAGACGUCUCCCUGACAGACUGAGACAACUUGUAGAGAGCCACUAUGCUUAGUUGUUACUACUUUUGUCUUUCCUUAGCUUAAGAAAAGCUUAGUUAAGAGUCAGCAUGGAGGUUAAGAGCGCUGACUCGAGGACCAGAUUGUCUAAGUUUGACGCCUAGCUCUGCCACUUAUUAGCUGUGUGACCUUGGGGAAGUGAGUAGCUUAGCUUUUUGUGUGUAAGUUUCCCAAGGACACCAACAGUACCUGUUUCAUCGGUUGUUAUGAGGAUUAGAUGAGUUACUGUAUGUGAAGUGCUGAUUUGCCCAAAGUAUUAUUCUCAUCAAUAUUUGAACAAGGCCCAAGUCACUGUUUUCAGUUGCACUGCUACCUCCUUCAGCAGCGUUAGUCAAAUGCCUUUUUUAGCGGCAUCCACACUAAAACAUUCUUCAGUUCAUAGGGCACACGUGGGUCAGUGUUGUCUUCAGAGCACGGUCCACAGAGCACAUGUUACUUCAGUCUCCAUUCUUUGUAUAGCCUCCAUCAAAGUGUCAGUAUCUUAUAUGAUAGAUUUGUGUCCCAAGUGGAUCUGCUCUUACAGUGCCAAAUGCUUUGUUGUACAGAAACAGUGGAUAUACUAAAUUCUUCGUAAAAUAGAGGUUUUCCAAGGCAGCUGUGCUAUAGUGACUACGGGUAAAUUUUGAGUAAAGUCAAGGUAUUACCUAAUUUGGGGGGAAAUGAACCAGGCUUUUAGUAUUCCUCACAUAUUCUUUAUUAUCAGUGACAUGAGUGACCCUUAUGUGAAUGUUCUGUCCUCAGUCUCACAAACUCCAGGAUCCUUAGGCCAAGGGAACAAUUACAGAAAAAAAGGAACUGGGGACACCUAGGACUAGUUGCAUACCAACACUGUACCAUCUGUAGCUCUUGUUGGUUUUUGGGGCCAGGACAGCUCACAGGCGUCAGAUCUUUUCCAGUGAGCUCCAAGGAAAAGUGGGCUGAAAUCAUUUGAUAGUGAGUGACUCCCCACCCCCUAAAGCUGUUUACUUGCUUAAGUGUCUGUAGCAUUUGUGCUGGGGGUUUUUGUACGUGUGUCUGUGCAUUAGAGUUGUUUUGUUCCUGCCAGCCCUAAGAGUUUAUUCUAACUACUCUUUGGCCAAAGGCCAGUUAGGGGAUCAAAGCCUGACCUAAAGGUUCAGACAUACUCUGAAAUUCACUAGACACAUUUUGUUUGCCUGAACAAUAUUGACUAUCUGAGCUUUUUUUUGCCAGAGAGAAUGUUUUAACCCAGGAUCACUUCAGAAGAGCUGGAUGCCAAAUCUCCAUCGCUAUAGAGCGGUUUAUCAGAGUCAUCCAGAUGUUUGCCGAUCACCAAUUUUAGUUUUAUUUGAACCUUGUUUUUUAAAAGCCAUUUUGGAUAACUCCCACUGGUGUGGUUAUUGUGACAAAUUUAUACAGUUUCUGGGUCAUGUUUGGUGUCAGUACAUAAUGUAUAUAUGCAUGUCCUUUUAACGUUGAGUCUGUUGGUAGUACUGGUUCUUCAAAAAUGAGAUUUUCAGCAGACUAAGACAUUACACACGUACACACACGCUUGGCCAAAUUUAGGACUCUCAAUCCACUGUUUGUAUGCACUUAUAACAGUCUCAUCCAAGUUAAAAAAUAUUUUAUUCUCAAACUUAAAAUGAAUUUUUGAUAAAACCACAAACUAUGAGCUCUACGACUGAAUUUCUUUUAAGGAAUUAUGUAUGGGGAAGAAAAGAAGUAGCUAGUAAGGUUAUGUGAAAUAAUAGAUUAUAGAUAAGUGUUGUUUGGAUCUCUGGAUACUACAAUGUAAUCUUCAACAGUGCCUUUUCUUUUUUCUUUCCUUUGGUGUUAGUUGCAGAACCUUAUCAUAUCGUAGUUAGAUGUCAAUAAAGAAUAUUUAAGAACAGGUCUAUUUCCUGUGUUUUAAGAUUCUAUUUCCAUGAUAAGGCUUGUAUCUAUUUAUUUAAAAAGAUGGAAUUCCUUUUUAUAAGAUGGGCUUGAACAGUGGUGGUUUAUUAGGAGGAUGGGCAGAUCUAUCAGGUUGCCCGAUCUCUGCAGGUGCUGUGCAGGGCUCAUGAGUGGUGAUCACUGACUCGACCCCGGAGCAGGUGCUUCCUGAUGCUCGUUGGCCCCUCAGGCCCCUCCAGCUAUAAAGCCUACAAGCCAUGUCCUCCAGGCUGGGGGGCAUCCGGAGUGAGCUUAUUUUGUCAGCUCAGCCUGUCCCUCUUCUUACUGGGCUCACAUCUUGCUUGUCCCUGUACAUUAGGACUUGUCACACCCUGAGUAAACCCAGGCUUGCAACCCUGUCUUUCCUCGUUGGUUUGUCUUAGCUCUCAGAGGCCAUCACUGGCUUGCCUGUUUGCCUCUCUUCACAUCUGGCCAUACUCUAAAUGUGUCCAAAUGAGAUUGUUCAAGUCAUAAACAGGAUGACGUUCAGUCACUCACUUUACAAAAAGAUUCACCAGAGUUCACUUUUAGCUUAAGGGAACUCUUCUAGCUUAGCAACACGUAUCUUUCCUUUAAGUUUGGAUCAGAAUAGAUUCUCUGUCAAGUGUGGAUUUCUUUCCUCACAAGUUUUUUUUUUAAUUCUGAAAGUAAUUAUUGAUAAUUACAACAAAGAAAAGGCAAGAUAAACCGCUAAAGUCAGUAACACUGGCUGAAUUUUUUCCUUCCAGGUUUUCUGUGUGCAUGUAGUUUACCUAGUUGUAAUCCAGGUACAUACUUUUACUGUUCUCUUUCACUUAAUAUAUCUUUGGUUUAAGUUGUCAUAAUACCCCUUAGUUUUUGGAGGAAAUGGAAAAAGGAGUUUAUUUCCUCUGUAGUGGUCUCCACAUGUUCCCAGCUGCAGUCAUAACGGAGCUGAGCUCCGGCCAUCCCGCUGGUUCAUUGUUGCUUUUAUGCUCUUCAUGUGAGGCUGAAGAGCUACAUUUUAGUGUCCAGGGUGAGGAACAAGGCUGAGCAGACAUUUUGUGGAUGGGAGGUAGAGAAGGUGCCGGCUUCUUAAUCGCCAGGAGAAGCAUCUAGGUCAGAGAUUAAAGCUGCUUCUCUGUGUUUUGCUGGGUUUGUGGAUAACUGCUGUUUACCAGCUUGCACCGCCGAGGACGCUUUAUGCUUUUGCUUUUACUUGGCAGACACAUCUUGAACCCGUGCUCUGGGUUGGCUAUGUGCAGGGCUACAAAGAUGAAUAGAAGUGGCUGCAUUCAAAGCAGUGGAAAUCAACAGUGGCAGGGGCUGCACUGACUGUAUUCCCACGGCGCAAUCGGAGCAUGGAAGAGGGGGCGAUAAACACCACUAGCACAUACCUAUCAUUUCAAAACGAGGAGAAAAAUGAACUUGGAAUUGUCAUGCCUUUAAGUCACAGUGGCGUGUGGAUUAUUUUGUUAUCAAAUGGCACAGCAUCAUGUUUAUUGCUCAGUGACAUAACAGCUUUGCGGAAAGACCACAUCAGCAUGACCAGACUGAGCAAUCCUCGCAGUGUGCCCAGCUCCCAGCAAAGCAACGGUCAGAAAAAUCAGAAAAUUUAAAAGGCAGUGUCUCAUCACAGCAGAAUUUUUUCACAAAAAUAAAUGAAAAUAAAGCUACAACCAAAGUAAGUUUCUGAGAGGCUCAUUUGUUAGCCAAGCAAGGAAAGCCAUUUACCAGUGUUGAGUUAAUUGUGUUGAUUGCAGCAGCUGAAGAAGUAUGUCCAGAGAAAAUAAACUUGUUCAAGAUUGUCAGCCUUUUGGCAAGAUUGGGAGCAAAGUCAGUAGUCAAUUAAAAAUAAGGCAAAUGAUUUUUUGUGGUUUCCCGUGGCUCUUGAUGAGUCAACAGAUGUUACUGUUACUAUUUAUUUUUGUGGCAUCAAUACCAGAUUUGAAGUAACUGAGGAUUAGCCUGUAUGAAUUGGAACAACUACAGGUGAGAGUAUUUCUAAAGAAGUUCUAAGAAGACACAGCUUUACAGCGGACGGUGGUAAAAAUUUGUGUGGAGCUAAGAAAGAUUUAGUUGCACAAAUUUGCAAAGCUUGUAAAUGUAAGGUGUUUAAAGCCUGUGGUUAUUCAUUCUGUUAUUCAGCAGCAGGUACUUUGUGGAAAAUAUUUCAGUCUAUCACAAGUUACUGAACCGGUAUCACCAGUCAUCUUUGAUUGCUCUUGUGGACUUAACCAUCAUUGGCUCCAUGAAUAUUUGUCAGAAAUAGAAACUGAAUAUCCUUACUUACCAUACCACACAGCAGUUUGAUAGCUUAGCAGUGGUAAAGUUUUCUGCAAAUUUCGAGCUUAGGGCUGAGAUGGAAAUUUUUCUGAACGUGAAGAACUGACCUCAAACCACUAGCUUUGAACACUGAACGGCUUUGGAAAUCAGCUCUUGCUGCAGACUUGAUAUUUCCUGAUGAAUUCAACCUAAAAUUCGGUAAAAUAGCGCUUAUAUGCAAGCCUUACAUUGCAGUCCUUUUGAUAACAACGUUGUUUGAGUCAAAGUCAUGUCAAGCUGCUUUAUAAACUUCCUACGCUGUCAGAAGUCAAAGCACACAAGUUUACCUUGGGUAUAUUUUCCAGAUGUAAACUGGUUUUAGUAGUAGUUUUUGGAUCUCAAUAUGCAUGGAAAGGAAAUUUCCAUAUUUCAAAAUCCAUUUACCUGUGUAACCAAGGAGUUUAUACCAAAUCUUCAGUUGGAAGUGAUUAAAAGGCCAAUGUCAAGACAAUAGUAGGAUUCCAUAAAGGUCUUCUAAGCAAUAAAUAUGGUCAGUUAAAAUCAUAUCCUCAUGGACUGAUACCAGCAUUUGGCAUUCUCUGGGUGGUGCAGAUGAUUAACUAAGAACUUGGAGGAUUGAGUCCAUCCAGAGGUGACUUGGAAGAAAGGGCUGGUAGUCUACUUCUGAAAAACCAGCCAUUGAAAACCCCUUGGGGCACAGGUCUACUGACACAGAUGGUGGCCACCUUGAGUUGGAGUUGACUCUGGCUUGAUGGUAGCUAGUUUUUUGUUUUAUAUGUGUGGAGAGACAUUUUCAAAGAUGAAUAACGUAAAAUCUCAUUACAGAAUUAGCAUUAAUAAAUGAAUAUUUGCAGUCAGUUUUGAUGAAACCAAGCCCAAAUUUUGUGGAAUGUUACCCUCUACCCCUAAAAUGCAUUCUUAUUAGUAGAACUGUAAAAAUUGUCAAUUAUUACAUUUUGAAUUUCACUAGUUAAAAACUUGCAAAAGUUUCUUUUUUUUUUAUUAUGUAAGUGCCUACAUAAUAUCCUCAGUUUUGCCGCUUGGCCUGAAAAGUCUAACACAUUUACUGUUUGGCCCUUCACAGAUAAAGUUUGCUGACCCUUGAUCUAGAGUUUGGUUUGUUGUUGGGGAGGGGAGGAGGCCACUGGUUGCAGGCGAGGUAGAGGCAGUGAGACCAUAAACAUUGUUCUAGAAGGAGUGGGGAGCUAGAUGUGGAUUAAAAGGGCACCAACUUUGUCUCCACUGCCUCUAAUUCUUCUCUCAGUUAUCUCUAGUACUUUUCUGUUUAUUCAGUUUGUUAAAAUUCUCACACUCCUCCCCAGAAGAGAGCGAAAACCCCCAAAUUGAUGAAUCUGUUACAACAACCUGGAAUAGGAUUAGCGGGAAAUUGAGUGGGAGCAGUUUAGCGCUUGAACUCAAGGGCGAUGUGAUUUACCUAAGUUAUUGUUAACCCCUUACUUGUUACCAGUGUUGGUUUAGUGGGGCAAGUGAUUGAAUUUAGAUUCCAUGUAGCUUGGCUUUUGUUAUUUUUUAGAAUUUUGGGUAAUGAAGAUAAAUUAAAAAGUGUAGAAAAUAGAUCAGUAUUUGAUUUUUAAAAAAUGGGUGCACUUUAGAAGGUUUUAAAAGGUUUCAGAGAAGAGUAUUUGUAGUUUUGUAGAGCAGUUUAGCAAAUAUGAUACAUUAUGAUUAUAUCUGUAUAAAAAUAUUGGAAGAAAGUUUACCAAAAGGCCAACAGUGGAUGGUGGGUUUAAGGGUGAUUUUGCCCUUUUCUCUUGUUUUCCAUUUUUUUGGUAACUGGCAUGUUACUUUCAUAAAAUGUUUUACAUUUAUAAAUAAACCAUUAGUAGAGUAAUACAAUGUUCUAAAUAGAGGCAAAAAACAGCUUCGAUUUAAAGUCAGUACUGGAAGGCAUUCCUCAGCCACCAAAGCUUUGACGAGUCACAGUAUCCCCAGGCUCUGUUGAUCCCUUCGUCCUGGUCUCAGAUGUGGCUUUCUCUCCCUCUCUCGUUUCCUCAGGUUCUGAGUGCUCCCUUGACUUAAUCAGGGCCGCUGUAGGUGUGAGUUCAAAGCUAGUGUGUGUUCUCUGUUGUUUGUCCUUGGGUGUGGGUAGUUUUGGGGGUUGGGAGUGUGAAGAAUUUAGUUCUGUGGCCCUGCCCCCUCCCAGAUCUUAGAGGGGUGGGGACGGUGGUUGGUGAGUCUUUCCCUCCUUGCUUAGACCCCAGGACUUCUUGGGUUUCCUCAGAGCUGGUUGAAUUAAAGAGUGGAUCUCAGCCUAUUUAGUUUCUUAGAUCUUCUGCUUCCAGGCCUUGGAAUGGAAAGAUGGAUUGGAGUUGUGCAUUCCCACUGAAAGCUUACAUUUCAUUUCAGUCCUUGAAAAAUAGAAAAGAGUGAUUUCUGAGAGGCUGUCUCCCUGCCCUUUGGGCACUGCAUUGCCUGUGCAGGUGGAGAGGGUGAGGGAGGGUGGGAAAUCCUCAGCAAAGAUUUUGGUUUCUAGGUAGUGGAUGGUACAGGUCCAUGAAUGACUUAAGUGAAAGGUUAGAAUUCUCUCUCUGAGAGCAGGCUCUGCUUGGCCUGGAUUUGGUCAUCAGGGUCCUGUCUGAGUAGCUCCUCUCCUGAAGGGGUUUUUCCAAAGCAGGACAGUCCAGCCUUGUCUGCUGAGCUACAAGUUCGCUGCACUGUAGGGCUUUUCACAAGGGAAUAGGAUGAGACUUCCCACUCCCAACGCUCUGCCUGGUGGGUGGCAUCAUGAGACUGGUGACAUUGCUUUGUGAAAUUUUCCCUGUUUGACUUUCGUUCCUUUAUAUAAUCGUCAGUGCACUUACCCAAGGCACUGUGCUCGUUUCUUAAAAGCUUACUACCAAGGAAUUUAUAAUUUAGUGGUAGAAAAAAAAUGUACACAUCGUUAACAAGUAAUGGGCAGGAUAAGGGCCAUAAGAAAUAUCUAAAAAUUAGAGGAUGAUAACUUUUAGCUGGGGAGAAGGAUGAAGGGAGAGGGGAGAUGAGAGGAGAUGGAGGUCAAGGAAGGCUGCAUGGAGGUGGUGACAUCGAAAGAUUCAUUCAGAAUUGAGACUUGAAAGGUUUCUGCAGGGAAACACGGGGACAUGAGCAAAGGCAGGAAAGUUAAAGGUCUAUUUGCAAGACACCAAGGACUCCAGUUUUACUGGCUCGAAUGGAGGGGAGUCAAGGGAAAUGAAGCUGGAAAACUAUGUGGGGCCAGAUGUGUGGGGCCUGGAAUGCCAGGCUCAGUGUUGUUAGUUGCUGUCGAAUCUGCUCCAAUUCAUGAUGACCUUCUGAUAACAGAAUGAAAUGUUGCCCAGUCCUGCGCCAUCUUCACAAUCGUUGGUGUGUGUGAGUCCACGGAACUCAAUGGACUCAAAGCCAGGUUAAGUAGUUGGUGCUUAUGUAGUGACUGCUGGAGGAGGCUGAAAGCUUUUUUUUUUAAGUUGUGCUUUAGAUGAAGGUUCACAGAACAAACCAGCUUCUCAUUAAACAGUACACGUAUUGUUCUAUGACAUUGGUUAACAACCCCACAACAUGUCAACACUCUCCCUUCUCGACCUUGGGUUCCCCGUUGGCUGAAGGCUUUUAGGCAGCUAAGUGAGAAUUAUAUCUGGGUUCUAGGAGGAAUAAUGAGCACUGUGUGGUGUAAAAAGGAUGGGAAAGGCUGAAGCAAGGCAACCAGUUUUGUUAGAGGCUACCAAGUCCCUGACCGGGGGCAGUGGCAGUGGGAAUGGAAGAGAAGAGGCAUAAAAUGGGGCAUUCAUCGCCUCAGUGUCUAUCCUUACCUGUGGUACCCCUGCUUGCCGGGGACCUUUUGGAGUCCCAUCUGUAUGUGGCUCUGUCUGUCCCAAGUAAGCUGGUGCACCAGGCAUAGCUACUGCCCUCAGGGGCCCCUCUUCCAAGAGGGCAGACUGUGCCCAAGGCAGGGUGACCACAUCCUGGAGUUCAGCCCCUGCCUGUCUGCCUGGGUUUUCACUGAGGCCCUGACACCAAGCAGACAGUACCAUUCCGAGGGUUACCAGACUUACAAAAUACAAACACAGGAUGCCAGCUAAGGUGGAAUUUCAGAUGAACAGUGGGAUGGUGUUUUAGUAUAGGUGUAUCCCGUGCAGUAUUUGGGACAUACUAAACAAUUACUCAUUGUUUAUCUGAAAUUCCAGUUGAACUGGUAUCACUCCUCACACUCUCUUCUGUGCUCCUGGCCCUGGGCU